rnacentral:rRNA from 1 species
GGCAGGCUUAACACAUGCAAGUCGAGCGGUAACAGGAGAAGCUUGCUUCUCGCUGACGAGCGGCGGACGGGUGAGUAAUACUUAGGAAUCUGCCCAGUAGUGGGGGAUAGCUCGGGGAAACUCGAAUUAAUACCGCAUACACCCUACGGGGAAAAGGGGGCGCUUGCGCUCUCGCUAUUGGAUGAGCCUAAGUCGGAUUAGCUAGUUGGUGGGGUAAAGGCCUACCAAGGCGACGAUCUGUAGCUGGUCUGAGAGGAUGAUCAGCCACACCGGGACUGAGACACGGCCCGGACUCCUACGGGAGGCAGCAGUGGGGAAUAUUGGACAAUGGGGGCAACCCUGAUCCAGCCAUGCCGCGUGUGUGAAGAAGGCCUUUUGGUUGUAAAGCACUUUAAGCAGUGAAGAAGACCUAACGGUUAAUACCCGUUAGCGAUGACAUUAGCUGCAGAAUAAGCACCGGCUAACUCUGUGCCAGCAGCCGCGGUAAUACAGAGGGUGCAAGCGUUAAUCGGAAUUACUGGGCGUAAAGCGAGCGUAGGUGGCUUGAUAAGUCAGAUGUGAAAUCCCCGGGCUUAACCUGGGAACUGCAUCUGAUACUGUCAGGCUAGAGUAGGUGAGAGGGAGGUAGAAUUUCAGGUGUAGCGGUGAAAUGCGUAGAGAUCUGAAGGAAUACCGAUGGCGAAGGCAGCCUCCUGGCAUCAUACUGACACUGAGGUUCGAAAGCGUGGGUAGCAAACAGGAUUAGAUACCCUGGUAGUCCACGCCGUAAACGAUGUCUACUAGUCGUUGGGGAACUUGAUUCCUUAGUGACGCAGCUAACGCAAUAAGUAGACCGCCUGGGGAGUACGGCCGCAAGGUUAAAACUCAAAUGAAUUGACGGGGGCCCGCACAAGCGGUGGAGCAUGUGGUUUAAUUCGAUGCAACGCGAAGAACCUUACCUGGUCUUGACAUAUCUAGAAUCCUGCAGAGAUGCGGGAGUGCCUUCGGGAAUUAGAAUACAGGUGCUGCAUGGCUGUCGUCAGCUCGUGUCGUGAGAUGUUGGGUUAAGUCCCGCAACGAGCGCAACCCUUUUCCUUAGUUACCAGUGGUUUGGCCGGGGACUCUAAGGAUACUGCCAGUGACAAACUGGAGGAAGGCGGGGACGACGUCAAGUCAUCAUGGCCCUUACGACCAGGGCUACACACGUGCUACAAUGGUAGGUACAGAGGGCAGCUACACAGCGAUGUGAUGCGAAUCUCAAAAAGCCUAUCGUAGUCCAGAUUGGAGUCUGCAACUCGACUCCAUGAAGUAGGAAUCGCUAGUAAUCGCGGAUCAGAAUGCCGCGGUGAAUACGUUCCCGGGCCUUGUACACACCGCCCGUCACACCAUGGGAGUUGAUUGCACCAGAAGUGGGUAGCCUAACUUUUAGAGGGCGCUCACCACGGUGUGGUUGAU